AUGCAUCGUCUUGGUACUUCUGUUUUGAUGCUUAUUAUACUACCUCUUGCGUUUUCCUGUGAAAGUGGCCACAAUAAAAAACAGAUCACCGAGGAUUACCGCAAUAUCAUUAAGAUUCAGCUGAAGCACGUUGAGGCUAUGACUGAACAACUAAAUUCAAACUGCACAAUAAGAAAUGUGAGCAUGUUGAAGGAGCCAACAAAUACACAACAGUCCACCCACAGAAAAAUCUGCAGGGUUAAUGGAAAACUGAGGAGAAUCAUGAGGGAAUCAGAGAAUGUAAAUGGACAACUAAAAGAUGGUUUAUAUAAGCUUGUGGAAGAAAUAAAUGCGUCUUUGAGAUGUUGGUGUCAUCAGAAGGUAACCGAAACAACCCGUUUCCUCAC
ensembl:lncRNA